GCUCAAAGUGUUGAGUUCAGUCCUGCUGCUCAGUGCAGGUCUGAUAAUUAAACUUUGAAACAGAAACCUGCAGCAGAGAUACAGGUGACAACAUAUGUACAUCUGAAGCCUCGCCGCUGCUAACAU
rnacentral:snoRNA from 1 species